rnacentral:rRNA from 1 species
AAGAUCGAAUGGGGAGAUUCAUCGUCAGCGAUGCUGGCUUCGUGAUGGCUCGUGAUGCCUGGGAUCUCGGUCCCGAGGCACGCGAUCGUUGCGUUGCGUCCGGCAGCGUCGGCGUGCACUUCUCCCCUAGUAGAACGUCGCGACCCGUUGGGUGCCGAUCUAACAGUCUGGGCGGAUGCCUUGUGCAUUAUUCGCAGACCCCCAGUGCUAAAGAAUCCGGCUGCCCGGCGGUACUCUUAUGGUAUCCGGCCGCAAAUUCGAACUGCGUCGGGCCCGCUUGCCCCGGAUAACCGUGCCAGGUGGUAUUUGACUAAGUGCCGUCCACUCUGGCAUGAUCGUGCAGACGAAUGGGUAUCCUCCGACUGGCCGUGCUUCUCAAAUGUGAUACCGGUCGGCGACGCUACUGCUUUGGGUAAUCUCAGGACCCGUCUUGAAACACGGACCAAGGAGUCUAACAUGUGCGCGAGUCAUUGGGACUGCAUGCCUAAAGGCGAAAUGAAAGUGAAGAUCGGCCUUCGCGUCGAUCGAGGGAGGAUGGGCCGCGUUAAGAUGCGGCUCCGCACUCCCGGGGCGUCUCGUUCUCAUUCGAGAAGAGGCGCACCCAGAGCGUACACGUUGGGACCCGAAAGAUGGUGAACUAUGCCUGGUCAGGACGAAGUCAGGGGAAACCCUGAUGGAGGUCCGUAGCGAUUCUGACGUGCAAAUCGAUCGUCGRAA